rnacentral:rRNA from 1 species
UACGUAGGGUGCAAGCGUUGUCCGGAAUUAUUGGGCGUAAAGAGCUCGUAGGCGGUCUGUCGCGUCUGCUGUGAAAACCUAGGGCUUAACUCUGGGCGUGCAUUCGAUACGGGCAGGCUAGAGUUCGGUAGGGGAGUCUGGAAUUCCUGGUGUAGCGGUGAAAUGCGCAGAUAUCAGGAGGAACACCGGUGGCGAAGGCGGGACUCUGGGCCGAUACUGACGCUGAGGAGCGAAAGCGUGGGGAGCGAACAGG